GGGGGAUAACACCUGGAAACAGAUGCUAAUACCGCAUAACAACUUGGACCGCAUGGUCCGAGUUUGAAAGAUGGCUUCGGCUAUCACUUUUGGAUGGUCCCGCGGCGUAUUAGCUAGAUGGUGGGGUAACGGCUCACCAUGGCAAUGAUACGUAGCCGACCUGAGAGGGUAAUCGGCCACAUUGGGACUGAGACACGGCCCAAACUCCUACGGGAGGCAGCAGUAGGGAAUCUUCCACAAUGGACGAAAGUCUGAUGGAGCAACGCCGCGUGAGUGAAGAAGGGUUUCGGCUCGUAAAACUCUGUUGUUAAAGAAGAACAUAUCUGAGAGUAACUGUUCAGGUAUUGACGGUAUUUAACCAGAAAGCCACGGCUAACUACGUGCCAGCAGCCGCGGUAAUACGUAGGUGGCAAGCGUUGUCCGGAUUUAUUGGGCGUAAAGCGAGCGCAGGCGGUUUUUUAAGUCUGAUGUGAAAGCCUUCGGCUCAACCGAAGAAGUGCAUCGGAAACUGGGAAACUUGAGUGCAGAAGAGGACAGUGGAACUCCAUGUGUAGCGGUGAAAUGCGUAGAUAUAUGGAAGAACACCAGUGGCGAAGGCGGCUGUCUGGUCUGUAACUGACGCUGAGGCUCGAAAGUAUGGGUAGCAAACAGGAUUAGAUACCCUGGUAGUCCAUACCGUAAACGAUGAAUGCUAAGUGUUGGAGGGUUUCCGCCCUUCAGUGCUGCAGCUAACGCAUUAAGCAUUCCG
rnacentral:rRNA from 1 species